GACGGAGGAUGCAAGUGUUAUCCGGAAUCACUGGGCGUAAAGCGUCUGUAGGUGGUUUAAUAAGUCAACUGUUAAAUCUUGAGGCUCAACUUCAAAAAUCGCAGUCGAAACUAUUAGACUAGAGUAUAGUAGGGGUAAAGGGAAUUUCCAGUGGAGCGGUGAAAUGCGUAGAGAUUGGAAAGAACACCAAUGGCGAAAGCACUUUACUGGGCUAUCACUGACACUGAGAGACGAAAGCUAGGGUAGCAAAUGGG
rnacentral:rRNA from 1 species